UACGGUCCAGACUCCUACGGGAGGCAGCAGUAGGGAAUCUUCGGCAAUGGGGGCAACCCUGACCGAGCAACGCCGCGUGAGUGAAGAAGGUUUUCGGAUCGUAAAACUCUGUUGUUAGAGAAGAACGUUAAGUAGAGUGGAAAAUUACUUAAGUGACGGUAUCUAACCAGAAAGGGACGGCUAACUACGUGCCAGCAGCCGCGGUAAUACGUAGGUCCCAAGCGUUGUCCGGAUUUAUUGGGCGUAAAGCGAGCGCAGGUGGUUUCUUAAGUCUGAUGUAAAAGGCAGUGGCUCAACCAUUGUGUGCAUUGGAAACUGGGAGACUUGAGUGCAGGAGAGGAGAGUGGAAUUCCAUGUGUAGCGGUGAAAUGCGUAGAUAUAUGGAGGAACACCGGAGGCGAAAGCGGCUCUCUGGCCUGUAACUGACACUGAGGCUCGAAAGC
rnacentral:rRNA from 1 species